rnacentral:rRNA from 1 species
CGCGCGUUUUCCGCACCUCCCGUUCGUCGAACCGGUGUCGAACGCGUGCACUUUUCUUCUGGUAGGACGUCGCGAUCCGUUGGGUGUCGGUCUACGGCUCGCGGUGGAGCCCGUUCGUCGUAUUUUAUCGUACGUACGGACGGACCCGCGUGUCCCGGCUGACUCGCUCGACGGUAUACGAAAGGUUUAAGGCCGCUCUAGGAGCGUUCGGCUCGCGGCAAGCGCGCCAGAUUCGCGUCGGCGAUCGGACCUAGUGCCGAUUCUGACCUCUGGUGACUGUUGGCCGCGAAGUUCUCGAACAGACCUUAUAACCGAUCUGCGACG